ACCCAGUGCACCCACUAACCCUAAUCAGUUUUCCCUUUUCCCUUUCCCUUUUCCAAGUGCAUUCAGCCAUUCACCCACCAUUGCCACCAAGCUCCAUAUUCCAGAAACCACCGAGCCACCCACAGCCAUCCACAACAGCCGCGACCACCACCGCGUUCUGCUUCUCGCUGAGCCCGCCUCGUCGUCGCCGAACGUCGCCUCGCUCGCGGAGCCUGCCUCCUCGUCGCCGAGCUCGCCGAGCCCGCCUCCUCAUUCGCCGUCGCCGAACGUCGCCGACACUGGGUCCUCACUCGCCGCCGAUUUUGGAUUCGGAUCCACCUAUUAAGCUAUGGCAACUCCCUCACCCGAUUCAAUCAAUGAUGGCAUUUGCACUUUUGUAGACAUAUUCCUGGGUUGAACUGCAUAUUUUUUCUUUUGUUAAUCUCCUUAUAUGUUGUAUUGUGUUGUGUUCUUUCUUCCUGGCAUAAAGUCACUCUUGUUAUAUGGUGAAAAUGUCUAGAAUAAGGUAAUUGUUAAGAAUGUAGUUUAGAGGAUUUUUUAUUUUUAUUGGUACUAUUUACAUUUAAAUAAUAGAAGAACUUUGUAUUAAUUACUAUGAAUAAAUUAUCUCUAUUAGUAUU